CAGUCGUACCUGCGGGUAAUCAGCCCUUUGGGCAUGAUUCUGUGGAGCGUGAGGAGUUAAACGCCUUCAUGCCUGCAUAUUCGUGUACUUUGGGUGUACUUGCCUGUGUGGUUAGUUAACAUCAAUUUUGGUUAUCAUAAAAUGGUUGGAGGAAUGUAGCUUCGAUCUCGUAUUGAAGUGUUAUAGCCUUGGCAGAUGUGAUGAUCGGGAUUGAGGAUUGCAACGGAUACCCCGUUCGGGGCUACCCGUCUGACUCUCUGAUCGUUGCUCGU
rnacentral:rRNA from 1 species